rnacentral:rRNA from 1 species
AGCGAACGCUGGCGGCAGGCCUAACACAUGCAAGUCGAACGGAUCCUUCGGGAUUAGUGGCGGACGGGUGAGUAACACGUGGGAACGUGCCCUUUGGUUCGGAACAACUCAGGGAAACUUGAGCUAAUACCGGAUGUGCCCUUCGGGGGAAAGAUUUAUCGCCAUUGGAGCGGCCCGCGUCUGAUUAGCUAGUUGGUGAGGUAAAGGCUCACCGAGGCGACGAUCAGUAGCUGGUCUGAGAGGAUGAUCAGCCACAUUGGGACUGAGACACGGCCCAAACUCCUACGGGAGGCAGCAGUGGGGAAUCUUGCGCAAUGGGCGAAAGCCUGACGCAGCCAUGCCGCGUGAAUGAUGAAGGUCUUAGGAUUGUAAAAUUCUUUCACUGGGGACGAUAAUGACGGUACCCGGAGAAGAAGCCCCGGCUAACUUCGUGCCAGCCGCCGCCGUAAAAC